rnacentral:tRNA from 1 species
GGGCCCGUCGUCUAGCCUGGUUAGGACGCCGCCCUGACGUGAGAGGCGGAGGUCCGGGGUUCAAAUCCCCGCGGGCCCA